UUAAAGCAGUGGUAUACAAUCAGUCAUUUUUGGCUUGCACAGGUAAACUGAGUUAGGUGUUUUAGAAUAUGCCUGAUAUUUGAUAUAUUUUUCAUAGGAAAGGGAGAAGUAGAUUGAAAUUGCAUGAGAUGAUGCAUCAUGACAGAGGGCACAGAAUAUUAUCAGCAGAUUGCCCAGUUGCAAAAGGCUUUGAGAGAAAGAGAACUUCAUCGUCUUGAGCUUGAGAGAGAACAUUAGCCAGGCUUCAGCGCCGUGAAAAGAGGCAUGAGCAGUUGAGAUCCAAGAUUAAAGCUUUACAUCAGGAAUUAAUACAAGAAGAAAUUGAGUCAACCCAAAGGGUAACCCUUCUGUUGUCUCAGGUAGACUCUGUACGAAGGGAGUAUGAAUU